rnacentral:lncRNA from 1 species
UUAAACUCUUUUCCUUCAUCAGUUUCACAUGUUAAAAUCUUCCCUUUUCCAUCAGCCUAACACGUUAAAAACCUCCUUACUCCAUCAGUUUCACACAUCUCCUUCUCCAUCACCUUCACACUUAUCUUCCACCAUGAGUUUCACUUGUCUCAUUCUCCAUAAGUUUUAUUCAAUAUUUCAUCACUGAAUAUCCUUUUACCUCUUCUCAAAUGCUGCUACUAUAAUCACAAGAGAAUUGGUUCAACAAAACAAAUUCACAUCUCCUUUUCCAAUUGCAAGUAUUUCAAUGUAUAGAGGUAUGCAGAACUGUCCCUUCAUAUAUUCUGUAUGUUAUAUUAUUCCUCUCAGUUCAUAUUACUCUUAACAUGUUUGAGUUCUUGAAAUAAGUUUUCUGGAAAAUCACUCUCAAUCAUGAAUAAUACUCUUCAACUUUUGCAAAACUCAUUAAGUCUUACAAAUUAUUACGAGAUUUGUGAAUUCUGCAUAUAUCAUGAAGCUAUUGGAAACCAUGAACCUUAUGGUUAUGAUUUAUGAUUUGGAAUCUGUUACUAUGAAUUUCAUGACCUUGACUAAUAUUGGUUCCCAAAAAAUAUUGUGAAUUUAAUUAAAGAAUGAGAUUUUACUUGUUCCUUAAUAGGAACUUUUGCCAUAACCACUAAGAUCAAAGUACAUCUAAAGAGCAUAAGAACUUUCUAGCCAGAAAAAGGCUGAAGAGCUUGUAUCAACAAAAUAAAAAGAAUAAUCACUAGUUACAAAAUAUUUAUUAUUUGAAACUACUACAUCUAUGGGUUCAUUUGGACAUCUUCCAAUGACCUAUCCUUUCUCAACUCUUUAUGUUUUGCUCAACUAGUGUCUCUAUAUGUACAUUUACUUUCCUAAAAAGUUCCAAUUCCUUUCCUAGUAGUCCAAACAUGGCAUAUAAUUGCUCCCGUAAACGCUUCCACAAGCUCUCUUUUGAGUUGUUUUCAGUUUCUUAUUUUAAUGCUUUCCAAUAUGUGAACACCCAUCCAUUGCAGUAGCUUUAAUUUAAUAGCAUUGUGCACUCACGACUCGUAGAGAUGAGAAGAUGAGUCUUACUAACCGGCCUAUUGCAUAGGUAAUAAUUAAUAUCAUCAACAUGGACACUUGUGAACCAGCAUAUGUAAGUCAUGAUAACAUAAGGAAACAUGAAAUUACCUCUCAUUUCUCUCCAAUAAUGAUGUUAACUCUUGAUUAUAAGCCUACUAAAGUAGACACUCUAUAUGAGCCCUAAAGUUGCACUUCAUGAUUUUUGAGCCUAAAAUGACUAAACUAUGAACAUGAGCCUAAAAAGGCUAAACUAUAAACAUGAGCCUAAUGAGGGUAAAACUUAAAAUAUAAAUAAUUAAGACAACGUUGUUAGCCUAAGGGAGUUAGUUAACUGAUCAUAAAGGCAUCGGUUACAAGACAAAUACCCGAAACUAUGUUUGCCAAUAUAGGAUAGAGAUUAUUCCGCAAGUAGGAUAACUUUUUUUUUCAUGUGUCCCAAAAAGGGGCUAGUCAUGGAUACUUUCUAGAAAAUUAUGUCAUGUCCUGUCCUAUGCCCGACAAGGUAUAGGAUGGCUUAGAUGAUUGGGAUGAGAUCAUACUCUAUGCGCUUGCAUGGUGGUUUAUGACGGUUUACUACUUUCUCCCACAAAUAAUCAAGGGAAUUAAAUUUACCUAGCUUGGUCAAUUAUGGAUUUAGUUUAUACUCUUGCCCCUUUCCAAUUGUCUUCACUUAAAUUUAAAUUUUAUUGUCAUUUAUAAUAUCUUGUUGUACUAUCCUCUUGAAAUGAUUUUACAUACCAAUACAUUCCACGUAUUGACUAUGUUUGGUGCUACAUCAUUUCAUGAUGUAGGUUCUGGCUCUCGAGUUUGUGGUCAAGCACCUCAUUAGUAUCUCUAUCUUCAGUCGUUAAUAUUGAUACUUAUUAGAGGCUUCAUAGGCUGGUGUAGCUGCCAAACAAACAUUGUAAUUUUCAGUCUUUAUUUACCAUAACAAUUACUAUUGUUGGACAUUAUGCGGUGCUAAUAAACUUUGGUGAAGAUUUAUUCCUUGAGUAAAUCUUAAAUAAAUUUUAUAUUAUUUUUGCUUUAUUAAUUUGUAUUUUAAGUAUGCUUGGGUGAUAUGUCAGACCGUUCACUUGUACUAGUAAUAGUAUUGAGUACGUGCCACAUCCAGGGCCCCGGCUUGGUUGUGACAAGCUUGGUAUCAAAGCCCAGAUCUCCAAUGUCCUAGAGUGUCUAUGAAUCCGUGUCUACUAGUUUUUCUUUUAUGGGUGUGAAGCGCACCAUACUUAUAAUUGGGAGGCUACAAGACAUCUAGGAGAUAUUCCUAAUUUUUAUACUCUAGAUCCUGCAAUAGAGCUGUAUCAUAAGAUUCAUGUGUUGCUCAAAAAUCUCCUGACAAGCUCAUAUUCUAGGUGAUAGAAUCAUUAAAGUUCAAAUUCAUAUCAAUGUAGUACCCUUAUAGAAAGCCAUCCAACAUGUAAGAGAUCGCACGAGAGAGGUUUAUGAGGAUCCUAUUAGUGCAUUUGAGUCUACUGAAUUAAAAGAAUGCACACUUGUUCGUAUUGAUUGUGUGUUCAAGCCAAAUAUGAUGUGUUCUUAGACUCCUUACCUAAACUUUAUUUUCCAAUAGCAUCUUUAUGGUGAAAUUAUGACUCUAGAUUCUUGGGUAGUAUUGUCACACGGGAGAUAUUUUUAUUUAGGAUGUUGAAAGCCAUAAGUAGAAUAAUAAUCCCAAGGUUGAAAAUAUGAUGUCAGAAGUGUAGAAGACAAAAAAAAGUAGACGGUAAAUUGAUUGAAGUAUGUAGAUGGAAUCAUGUAAUCAUAACUGGGUGAUGAGGUGAAAUAUGCAUAAGAGUUGGUCAAGGUGUAAUAAGUUUGGUGUAGAUUUGAUGGUUUCAAGUAGAGCAAGGAUUUUUAGAUAUGAUAACUUAGAAGUAUACUUGACCUAGGAAAGAAGUUAGGAUGACAUGUCAUGGUGUUAGUAAAGAUUAAGUAUAGAUUGUGGACACGAGGAUAGAGUGGCCAAGAAUUGACAGAUUUAAGCAACCCCUUGUGUUGUAAAGAGAGUAACCCCAUUUGUUUUAGUAGAGCUAUGAAUAUAGUUUAGGUAGUUCAUUGGAAAAGUAGUAGUAGUGUGUGAGAGGAGAACAUGUGGAUAGAUUGCAAUUAGAUAGGAAGUGAGUUUAGACUAGAAAUUUACUAUUUUUUCAUGAGCCCUUGAUGAACUAGUAUUUCUUGAUUUUGUUUGGUAGCAAUAAUUCUGAGUAGUAUAAGUGGAUGAGUGAUUCCAUUUGUGUUUAGCACUAGACUGUAAGCUUAAACUUACAUGAUUGUCUUGAUAAGAAGGAGGACAGUAUGAGAGUGAUAAUAUUAGUUAGGAUCUGAUCUAGUGGGCUUGACAUAGCGUAUGCAAGAAAUUAAUUUGUUAACUUGUGACAAGUAUCAAAGCAUAUGUGUCAUAUAUGCAGGUUCUACAUGAAUAAGUAAAUGGAGGCUAAAACAGUUGAUAAAUAGGAAAUCUUAAGAAUUAUAAGGGAAGAUGUGUGCUCCAGAAAAGAUAUAUAUCAUAGAUGAUAUUCUAAGCUCCCAAGUGUGGUGUGUACCUGGUUUAUUAUUCAUGAUAUCGCGGAAAGUGUGAAGAUUUAGGUAUGAUAUAUAUGUGAACCCUAGAUGAAGUAGUAAAUUGUGGCUAAGUCAUUAGAUAGAGAAGAUCCUUAGUUUUUUUUUUUGAAGAAAAAUGUGUACCUUAGGUAGUAUUUUGUUACAUGAGAUUCUAUGUUUAUUAGUUCUAUGUGUGCCUACAUAGUACCAUUGAGUUGCUGAGGGUGAAAAAGGCUAAUUAUGUAUUAUAUGGUGUUUUGGAGAGUUGAUUUGAGGGGAUUAUAGGUAGACGACAUUGAUUCUCUUAGUAUAGUGUAGUUUUACUCCCAUUGAUUUGGGUCAACAUGAAUUUUGAAGUAUGAUGUCAGUAGACUAACAAGAGAGAAUCAAAUUGUUAAGUGUUAGAGGAAGUGGUGAUGUACUCCAAUAGGAACAUGAAUUACAGAGUUUACCAUCUUGUCGAGAAAGUUAAGAAAAGUAUCUUAGAAAGAAGUCGUAGCAACAGUUUGUAUUUACAAUAUAUUCUAAUAGGGAAAGUUUAAGCAUUAUUGUGUAUAAUGAUGCCCAGACAUAUAAACUAUUGUGCUUAUAGUUCAGUUUAGAGAAUAGGUCCACAAACCUAGGAUAUUGAUCUUUGAGUUAGGGAGAGAUGAUGAGGUACUGAACCAAGGCAUGUCUUGAGUUACAGAUAGUUAUAAGUUAUAGAGGAAAAAAAACUAGGAUGAAACAUCGAUCCAUUCCUAUCUUAAUUAUCCCUUGUAAUUCAGUCAAGAUAACACUCCACUGUUUUCCUGAAUACUAGCGUUAUAACUAUGUCUGAGGUACAUGCACUUCAUACUAAUUCACGUCCUUGCUUAGUUCCUAGAAUGAGAAGUAAUAGCUUCACUCAAUGAUCUCAAUCUUACUCCAUGAAUCUAUGAAUCUUUGUAUGAUAUUAUACAACUCUUGAUUUAUGAACUCAUGUUUCACAGUAUGCCCAAUAUGUUUCAAACUAAUGUUAUGUCAUUUUGUACGCCCAGAAUGGCUCUCUAUUUGUAUGAAAUAUUCGUGCCCAUUGUACCUUACUUCACAAGUCCUAUUUUGAGUGCUAGAAUCACAGUGAGUAUAAGUAAUGAUUGAACAAUAUCCCUAUUAUUCUUGAUCCUCAUACUCUAGCCCUUAAGUGGUCUUUCUUAUGACCUAGUAGCGGUGUUGAAGGUAGUUGUACAACGGUUUAGAUUGGAGAGAGUAGAUAUUACUUGUAUUGAAGGAUAUAUGGUGUGACUUUGUGUAGAGAUUCUUGAAGCUACGUAUUUUAGAAGUGCUUGGAAAGAUUUUCAUAUAGUUUUGGUUGCAAAGAAGUCAUGAAGUGAUUAUAGUGAUAGGUUUGAAUGUCGUGUUGAGAUACAUGUGGACAAUUGUAUUAUGUGACUAGUGUCUUCUUGAUUAGAGAACGAGGUUGGUUGAAUUUGUAAUGAUAAGAAGUGGUAUUCUUGGGGAUAACUCUAGAUAUAAAAGAAACCUUAUUGAGUUUUCAAAUAGUCAUAAUGACAGAUCAAUGAUCAAGGUGAAGGUUCUUAAAGGGGAAAAAAAGAAUCUUGUGAUUCAGACUAGCAUGAUCAUUCUAGGUUUAGCAUUUUGUACCUCUAGGUUAGGCUUGAACAUGAAAGCAACAUUGAAUUAAACUCAGAAAUCCUCAUAAGAAUUAUAAGUUGCAAAUGAUGAAGUGUAGUACUUGGGGGACGAGUGUAGUUUAAAAGUGUUUCUAAUAAUAAAGGCUAUCAAUUAUCCAUCUCAUUUAAGGUUAAAAUACUCUUAUUUUUAUGACCAGCACACUCAUGUUUCAUGCAUUGUACCUUCAAAUCAAAUGAGGCUUGUGUCCAAGCCUUUGCGUAUAUCAUUCAUUCUCUAUGAACCUAGGUCAGAUGACUAAGAUACUCAAGCUAUGUUGAAGCUAUAUAUAUCUAAGAAAUCACCUGUGACUUGUGCCAAUGCAUUUCUUUUAGGGCUUGUUAAAGCUCCUCAUGAUAAUGAAGCUCGUGUUGUUAAGAAUUAGUUCAAGAAAGACCAGACCUAUUACUAUUCCCAUACAAGGUACCCUUAUUUAUUCACUCCUCAAGAGGGGAGCAAUGAAGGUAACAAUCCCAAUUCUUACUUAUAACUUUCUUCUCUAAAUUCAAGCUGUGUGUUGUAUAGAUCAUGUUCUAUACGAAACCUUCCUUAUAUUGUGGUUGUGUCUAGUGCCUUCUAUGGUAGGAAUCAACGUUAUAUCCUCUCAUGGUUGGCUGUUUUGGAGCCUGAAAGUUAUGGGCUACCUACAAACCUUAAAAGAGUCCACUAGUGAAAGUUUUUUUCCCUAAUUCUUGAGCGUAGACUUUUCCAUGAGUCUGUAACCUUCAUUCGAGGAUGAAUGAUCCCAUGGAGGAGAUAUUGUUACACCUCACGUUUCAAGAUUAAGUCAUAGUUGUAUGUGGAGGUUUCAUGGCUGCAUAAUUGAUCUUGUUGUGCUUCAAAUUUUGUUGGAAAUCCACUUGGAAUGAUUCAUAUAUAUUUUGGGGGUCAUAGGGGUGUAAAUCAUAGCUGGGGGAUGAAGAUUUAACUACUGCAUCAUCGCAGCAAUACAAGAGAAGGAAGAAGGGCAGAAAGUAGCGAGCUACUCCCUAAGAAGCCCCUUCAAGGGCCGUUUUGUCCCUUCAUAUUACCUUAAUCCCAAGCAAUUAAAUAUCCCCUUUAUCUAUCAGUUCCAUACGUUUUUUAGUCAUUCAUCACGUUUUAAACUCUUUUCCUUCAUUAGUUUCACAUGUUAAAAAUCUUCCCUUUUCCAUCAGCUUAACACAUUAAAAACCUCACUGCUCCAUCAGUUUCACACAUCUCCUUUUCCAUCACCUUCACACUUCUCUUUCUCCAUGAGUUUCACAUGUCUCAUUCUCCAUAAGUUUUAUUCAAUAUGGAGUUUCACAUGUCUCAUUCUCCAUAAGUUUUAUUCAAUAUUUCAUCACUGAAUAUCCCUUUACAUCUUCUCAAACGCUGCUACAAUAUUCUCAAGAGAAUUGGUUCAAUAAAACAAGUUUACAUCUCCUCUUCCGAUCUCAAGUUUUGCAAUGUCUAUAGGUAUGUAGAACUGUCCCUUCAUAGAUUUUGUAAUUUAUGUUUUUCCUCUCAAUUCAAAAUACUCUUUAACAUGUUUGAGCUCUUUAAAUAAAUUUUCUGAAAAAUCAAUCUCGAUUAUGAAUAAUACUCUUCAACUUUUGCGAAACUCAUUAAAUUCUAUGAAUUGUUGCGAGAUUUGUGAAUUUUGCAUAUAUCAUGAAACUAUUGGAAUCCAUGAACCUCGUGGUUAUUGAUUUGUGGUUUGAAAUCUAUUACUAUGAGUUUCAUGCUCUUGGCUAAUAUUGGUUCCCCAAAAAUCUGUGAUUUUAAUUAAAGAAUGAGAUUUUACUUGUUCCUUAUAUGAACUUUUUCCAUAACCACUAAAAACCAAUUACAUCUAAAGAGCAUAAGAACUUUCUAGACAGAAAAAGGCUGAAGAGCUUUUCUCAACAAAACAAAAAGAAUAAUCAUUAGUAACAGAGUAUUUAUUGUACGAAACUACUACAUCUAUGAGUUCAUUUGGACAGCUUCCAACGAUCUAUCAAUAUGUACAUUUACCUUCCUGAAAAGUUCCAAUUCCUUUCCUAGUAGUCCAAACAUGGCAUAUAAUUGCUCCUGUAAAUUCUCCCGGCCCACAGGCUCUUUUUUGAGUUGUUUCCAGUUUCUUCAUUUAAUGCUUUCCAACACCUGCUUGAUUACAUCCUCUUGGAUGUGAACACCCAUCCAUUGCAGUAGCUUUAAUUUAACUGUUUUGUGCACAAACGGCUCACAAAGAUCAGAAGAUGAGUUUCACUAACCUACCUAUUGCAUAGGUAACAAUUAACAUCUGUUGGAUUUAAUACUAUAAAAGAAAAAUAAUGUAGCAACGAGAGCCAAGAAAUUAGUGACUGAAAAUAGAGAUGAGUUAUAGAAGAAGAGACGCAAAGACGCAGAGAAACCUUUUUCUUUUUCUGUUUUUGAAGUAAAACUGCUUAUUUUUUUAAUUAUUAACUCCAACUUAAAUAUUGCUAUUACAACUAAAAAUAGAUUAAAAUUAUCAUAAAAGAAAACCUAUUUUCUAUUAAAAAUAACAAAUAAUCAGUCUCCUACCUAAAAUAGAAAUCCCAAUUUGACUAGGAGUUGUAUGUAAAAAAGUUAAAGAAAAACAAAAAAGGUCAUGUGCAUUAUUCCUUGAACAAACUUUUAACACUCCUCUUUGCUUUGGAAACUACAAAAUUUUAAUCUUCUGUCUUGGAAUCUCCACACAUGAUAACCAAAAGUGACCGUGUGAAUAAAUCUACAGAUUCAUUAUUGACUUGUAGUGAACUAAAUUCACUUCUUAUCUUGAAUGCAAUCCUUGACUAUUAAAUUCUUUUGGCAUGUAUUCUUGCUUCAUUUGCAUUUUAAAUUUAAACUUACCCAUGUUAUUUUCUGAAAUAUAGAUAACUACUCCAUUGCUUCAAUUCCUUUAGGAACAUUGAAAGCUACUUUAAGUCUAGUAGGUUCACAUAUUACUUGUGCUUUUUCAAUUAGAGGAUCAUCUUCUAAUUUUUCUUAUGAUCUUUUUCAUGUUCUACAAAAACAUCUACCAUUGAAUCAAAUGAGAAAUGUAUACCUCUCAUCUUAAUGUUUCAAACUUCAUUUCCAACACCAUUAUUGAUGAAGCAAUGCUUAUCCUCAAAGGAUACUUCGUAUCCUUUUUCUACCAACUGAUAAAUACUCAAAAGGUUUUGAUCAAUAUCAGGUACAUAAAGAACACCUAAAAUUACUUUAUUUUUUGAACUUGUUUUGAUGACUACAGUUCAUUUUCCUUCAACAAGAAUCUAGUCACCAUUUUCGAUCCUAAUUUUUAAAUUUUACGUAGGCUUUAAUUAUUUAACCAAGCUCUUGUUAUAAUUCAUGGUCUUCUUCUUCUUUAUUGACUACAUGUUCAUCUACUUCAUGGUUCUCAAAUUUAUUUUUGCAAAUCACUGCUUCAUGUCAUGAUAAUUACACUUGCUGUACUUCGCGUCUGACCUUUUCAAACAUCUGUAUGGUGGAUGACCCAUUUUUCCACAGUGCUCACAAGGUGGGUUUUUAAAUUUUUUACCCCUGUUUUGAGUUUUUUGGCUGGCUACUAAGGCUUUUUCAACCAUACCAACUUGCCUCAUAAGUCUUUUUUGUUCUAGUGCCUGAAAAAAACUAAACAACUCUACCGAGGUAAUAUUGGACAGAUCUUGUGUAUUUUUCUAGGUAAAUAUACAUGCUUCAUAUCUUUCGGGCAAUGUAACAAGAAUUUUCUCAACAAUUCUUGAAUCUUUAAAUUCAGUGCCUAGUAAUCUUAUCUUGUUAACAAUGCCAAGUAAUCUGUCCGAGUACUCUUUGACUGUCUCGAAAAAAAUUCUUUGCAACUCGAACUCUCUUAUUGAAUUUCGUACUUGCAUUCCUUGAAUUCUUUCAUCUCAAGCAUAUUCUAUCUUAAUCCCAAAUAUUUUUUGGUGACGUGAGAGACAUAAUUCUUGUAAAAAUAGUUGUUGAAGUAGAAGCAAAUAGAGUUUCAUUUGCCUUAGACUUCGUGGUUUUCUCUUCCUUGUGUCUCUUGAUUUGGGCUAUGGUGGAAUUAUUUAGCAUUAGAUUAAUUUCAUAACCCUCUUCCACAGCUUCCCAAAGAUCAAGAACCUCCAAGUAAGUUUUCAUUAUCACAGCCCAUAAUUGAUAAUUUUCACCAUAAAAAAUGAGUGGAGCCAUUCGUGAAAAACUAUUUUCAGAAUCCAUCUAUCUCUUCACUCACAAGUCCCUUAAGAAAAAUAAUUCUAGAUACCAAUUGUUUGUUUUAAUAUUGUUAAAGAAAAAUAAAGCAGCAAGGAGAGCCAAGAACUUAGCGACUGAAAAUAGAAAUGAGUUAUAGAAGAAGAGAAUGCAAGACGCAGAGAAACCUUUUUCUUUUUCUAUUUUUGAAAUAAAGCUAUGUAUUUUUUUAAUUAUCAACUAUAACUUAAAUAGUGCUAUUAAAACCAAAAAUAGAUUAAAAUUACCAUAAAAGAAAAUCUAUUUGCUACAAAAAAUAACAAUUAACCAGUCUCCUACCAAAAAUAGGAAUCCUAAUUUGACUAGGAGUUGUACGAAAAAAGCUGGAGAAAAAUGAAAAAUAAGUCACAUGCAUUAUUUCUUAAAGAAACUUUUAACAAUACCAUCAACAUGGACAUUUGUGAACCAGCAUAUGUAAGUCAUGAUAACAUAAGGAAACAUGAAAUUAACUCUCCUUUCUCUCCAAUGAUGAUGUUAACUCUUGAUUUUAAGCCUACUACAGUUGACAUUCUAUAUGAGCCCUAAAGUGGCACUUCAUGAUUUUUGAGCCUAAAAUGGCUAAACUAUGAACAUGAGCCUAAAAGGGUUAAACUAUAAACAUGAGCCCAAUGAGGGUAACACUUCAAAUAUAAAUAAUUAAUACAAUGUCGUGAGUCUAAGGGAGUUAGUUAGCUGACCGUGAAGGCAUAGACUAAACGAUAAAUGUCUGAAACUAUGUUCGCAGACAUAGGAUAGAGAUUAUUCCGUAAGUUCGAUAACUCUUUUUUUUUCAUGUGUCCCAAAAAGGGGCUAACCAUGGAUAUUUGCUAGAAAAUUAUGUCAUGUCAUGUGCCCAACAAGGUAUAAAAUGGCUUAUCUGAUAGGGCUACACUCACAUGGUGGUUUAUGACAGUUCACUACUUUCUCACACAAAUAAUCAAAGAAAUUAGAUUUACCUAACUUGGUCAAUUAUGGAUUUAGUUUAUAUUCUUGCUCCUUUCCAGUUGUCUUCACUUAAAUUUGAAUUUUAUUGUCAUUUAUAAUCUCUUGCUGUAUUAUCCUUCUCAAAUGGUUUUACAUACCAAUACAUUUCACAUAUUGACCGUCUUUGGCGCUACAUCAUUUCAUGAUGAUGGUUCUGGGUCUUGAGUUCGUGAUUUGGCACUUCAUUAGGAUUCUAUCUUCUACUAUUAGUGAGUCUCUUUCCUACCAAGAGGCUGGACGGGAUAUGAUGACUUCUUUAUAUUUUUUUUAUUUCAGUAUUGGUUGCUUGAGGUGUAGUUGGCAAACAAACUUUGUAAUUUCCAGUCUUUCUUUACCAUAGCAAUUAGUAUUGUUGGAUAUUAUGCAGUGCUAAUAAAUUUUGGCGAAGUUUUAUCCCUUGAGUAAAUCUUAAAUAAAUUUUAUAUUAUUUUCACUUUAUUCUUUUUAUUAGAAGUAUGCUUGGGUGAUAUGCCAGACCGUUCACUCGUACUAGCAAUAGUAUCGGGUGCAUGCCACAUGUCCAGGGCCCCGGUUCGGAUCGUGACAUUUAAACUUAGCUAUUAUUGUUGGUUAUUAUUAUUAUUAUUAUUAGUAUUUUAUUAUUCAGUUCAUCUUCCACACAGUGGUUUUAUCAAGUUUUUUUCAGUAUUCUUAGUGUCAUGCCAGGCCAUGGGUUAGCUUGGGGCCACUUGUGACUCUAAGCACCGUGUUACGACAGGGAUAGUUUCAGGUUGUGACAAUCUAUAAUGACACUGUAGUUCUAGCUUCAUUCUUUAAACAUAAAUCUAGAGAAUCAUAUGCAAGUUUAUAUCAUAAUUGACAAAGAUGAUAACUACAACUUUCCCAUUCAGAGAAAUUAUUUCGAUGUUUAUAAAGGCUAAAUCCUUCAAUAAACACUUUAAAAAUCACAAAUUUGUUUCAAAUACUAUAAAAAUUAAACAUGGGUUUGUAACAUUAACUAUCAUUUUGAAAUUCAUAAACAAACUUUAAAAUUUUUGGACAUGGGGAUGAAUGGAAACACCGUUGAGGUCCUACAUACCUGAGAUUAGACAGAUUUGUGGAGAAAAAAUCUUGAAUUUGAAGAAACCCCCUUUAUUUGUUUGUUCUUGUGUGUCUUUGAAGGAUAAAGGAAAUUGGGAAAAAUUAGUGAUGUUUAUUCAAAGAAUAUAACCCUUAUUGGGUGUUUUAAGAUAUGGUGAGAGGUUCUAGGGGUAAGAAAAGGACUAAACUAUCCCUCAGAAAACUCUUUAAAACUGCAGAAAAAUCCCGUCUAACGGUCUAAGUGAUAAACCAUCAACCCCCUGAUGGAAUCUCAUCCAAACCAUCAAAUUUUUACCCAAUUUUUUAGCUCACUGGUUGGGCUUGAUGACCCAUCAACCAUUUGAUGACCCAGUAACUUUGUCGUCAACUUUCUCCAUGGUCACUGUCAGAGAAACACCCUCUGAUAAAAUAAUCAUAACUUCUUACUUCAAUAUUGGAUUGACAAACAGUUGGCGACAUUGAAAAGAAGACUCAGAGACAUUUAAGUUGGAGAGUCUUAGGCAGAAAAGCUCUUCAUAUUCAAGGAGUUACCCUCAUUUGAAUUGACGCUAGUAAGAAUCUUAUAUGAAAACUCAAUCGGUAAAAGAACUUUCAACUUAACUUUGAAUUAGAAGUUCCUUGUGACCUUAAUCAUAUCCAAAUCUCUUCUCACACAAAGAAAUUAAUCUUAACAUCUAUGUACAACUAGAAAUCAUCAGGUUUGAUUCCAUACGCAUUUGAAGAAUGAUUCUAAUAUUAGUUUAAAAAAUUUGGGGUGUUAUAAAAUGAAAGUGAAAAUAUAGAAAGAAGUGAUCCUGCUAUCAGCUGAAACAAGCACUUGUGUAUUAGUGGGGUCCCAGGGUACCUGGAAAUCUCAGUUAAAACUUUGUAUAUAUAAUAUGUGUAUAAGAAAGGAAUAUAUAUUAAAUUGUCACCCAGAAUAGCAAAAGGUAGAAAGGUACCGGUGUUAUAGGACAAUAGAUGUCGCCUUAGCAACGAGGGAUCAAGUUGUUUAGCAGCACUUUUGUAACGCCCCACAUUUUGGGCUACAAUAUAGACCAUGAUUCCGAUGAGUUGAUAAUCCCGAAGUCUUAAAUCCUAUGCCAAUAUGGCAUGUUAAUUAUUUGUGUAGUAUGUAAAUCCAUUCAAGCUUGAAUUUAGACCAUAGAGGUCCUUUGACUCAAGGACGAGUUGAAAACUAAUUCGAUCGAUAAAGUUUAAGUGGACAUUAUAAUUUGUGUCAACUUAUAUCGACCAUGACUCUUUGUAUAUAUCGAAUUAGAGAGCCUACUAUGUGUAAAAUGAUAGGUUUUCGAGUUAGCUUUCCAACGAUACCAAUUUUGCUAAAAUCCAGCACCUGAGCAAGAAGUUAUGGCCUUUCAAAGUAGUAUGUAUCGCCUAACCAAUCGCACAUGGCCACUGGAAAGCAUAUGCUAUAGCAUAUACGACGCCUAUGUAAACAUAGGCGAUAGUAUAGGCGGCACCUAUGUAAACAUAGGCAAUAGCAUAGGCGGCGCCUAUGUAAAUAUAGGCGAUAUCAUAGGCGGUGCCUAUGUAAUGGUUUUAAGUGACACUCCAUUUUUGGGGCAAAAUGGUCCUUUUCCCACCCUUAUUCAACCAUAAACACGGAAUUUAGUCCCCAAUUCUCCAAAAUACAUCCACAUUCAUCUAAAAAUUCUCAAGAACACUCCCAAGGGUUUCAAACUAAAAACCCAAAUAAAUCAAGAUUCAAUUGUGGGUUUUCAAAAUCGAUUAGAGAUUUGGAAUCCCCAAUCCAUAGGCUUCAAGAAGCAUCCAUUAUUUUCUGAAAUAGAGGUACGUGUGGUUUUCCUAAAUUCUCAUGGGCAUAGAAAAAUCAUGUUUUAGAAUGGGAUUUUUGAAACUAUGUAUAUAUUCACGUAUUAGAUGUUUUAACAUCAUUGUUUUGGUCUUCUGACCUUCCCUAAAGUGAUUUGAGAAUAUGUAUGUAUGAAAACAUGUAUUUAAGAAUAAAUUCUUGUUGAGAGCAUGACUUUUGGUGAAUUCCCUCUUAUUAUGAAUUUUCAGAUUUUUCAUAGCAUAUGAAUUGUUUUGCAAUGCAUUCUUGAAAAGCACUAUAUGAAAUGGUUGAACUCUUGUUAUGAUUUAAAGGUGGUUUUAAAUCACUAAAGAGAGAAUUUAGCAUGAAUGUUUAAUGUUCAUAAUGCAUGUAAUAAAAAAGUGUAUGAUUUGCUAAAGGCACUAGACCACCAUAUGUUUGAUGAAGUUUUUGCGUGAUUUUGCCUUGAGUUUUGGAACACAAAAUCUUCUAUAUCAGUUGCAUGUUUUUGGGUGGUCUAAGCUUUGAUUUAAAUGAAAUAUUUAUCUUAAUGUAUUAUGGCUCAGAAAGCAUGACUUGUAAGUCUUGGUAUCACGAUACCAAACUCAGAAAAUGCCAUAACAGACAAGACGAAUACUGAAAUUAGACUUUAUCAGAUUUGCAUAUUUUAGAAUUUUAGAAUGAUGCAUAUUCAAAAAAGGCUAAAAUAGGGCAUAAAGAGAUCUUAGGUGGUUCCCCGGAAAAGGCGUGAGUUCAAACAACUCUUUGUCCAAAACCGUGGUUUGCCAACUCGGAUAUAUUAUUAUAUGCUGACUUAAGUAUCGUGUGGCGUAUCAGAUUCAAGAACUUCAACCCUUGAGGCAUACUCGGGUUGGAGGCUUUCCCGCUGAUUCAAUAAUGGAUUCCAUAUAGCCCGUGGAAUAUCAGACUUGUAGGGGAUACCACCUAACUCAAAAGUAAUACACAAAUCAGAAUUUGAAAUUUAUAGACAGGUUACAUGUUUUCAGAAAGUGCUCAUGUGUUUUUCAGAAACUGUUUUAUGCAUGAUAUUUUGAUGAAAAUUGCUCUCACGUAUUAUAUAUAUAUAUAUAUAUAUAUAUAUAUAUAUGUUUUUCAGAAACUGUUUUAUGCUGAUGAUAUCCUCGAUGCUAGUGUUGUGUCUAGCAUGUCGACAGAUAUAUUGGAUGCUGAUGAUAUCCUCUAUGCCAGCACUGUGUCUAGCGUGUCAAUAGAUAUUGAAUACUGAUGAUAUCCUUGACGCCAGCGUUUUGUCUAGCACGUCAACAGAUAUGUAAUGGCCUUUACGGCAAUGAUAUGCGAUGGCCUUUGCGGCAAUGAUAUGCAAUGGCCAUUGUGGCAGUGAAAAUGAUUUUACCUGGCUUCAUUUGUCAGUGUCCUGCUUUCUACAUGUACCUGUACUCAAGGUAGACGAUUAGUAGACACAAAGUCACUUUUACUAGUGACUAUUUUUAGGAAACUUCUAAAUACGAUACGUGUAAAGAAGACAAAGUCCUUUUGUUUGUCACCUACGAUCUCAAGAAAUGAGAUGGAAAAAUCAAAAGGUCCUCAAUAAAUGUGCAUUAAACCUAUUUUUAGGGCUGCCUUAAUAUACCGUUCUUGGGCAUUAAUGAUCUGUUGUGGCUCCCAAUUUGCUCGGGGAUUUUUGAAAGAGACUCUCAUUUUGCGUAUUGAUCCCUGCAUCCACAAAAAAAUGAUUAGUUGAAUGAAAUUACUCCAUGUUGACCUUCUUCGAUCCUUGAUUUGCUCCUUGCCAUCUCUUGGGCAUUCCACCAUAUUGAGACUUCCACCCUGACACUCUAUCCCAAAUGAUGUCUAGGCAAGUACUAAGUAAGUGAGUCGUAAAAUUUUUGAAAAUAGUCUUAAAUUUUUGAAAAUAAUUUUGAAAACUUCUGUAAAAUUUUAGAAAAUUCCUGCCAGUCAUGUCAUGUACUAGAUCAAUGAACGUCUUCCUCACGGUUCUGACUAUAUCCGAUGGAUGGUUUCCAAAACUCAUGAUUAUUGUUGGAGGGUUUCUUCAAGUAGUUCUAUCAUAGCCAAAAAUUGAGUCUACCCAAACUUUGUUACAGUUGGUGGUUUCCAAACCUUUAACCUCUGGUACUGGGGAAUUUGGAAUAUGUUCCGGCAUUUGAUGGAAAUUUUGAGGUCUUCCUCAAAAUUUCUGCCCCAGUUUAAACUUGUUUGAGCUAAUACCAAUCUGAGUGGAUCUGAAGUCUUUGUUGAUCUUCAUUCUCUUUGUUGGAUGUCGAUCUUCUCUUGUGAAUUUUCGAGAUUCCUUCUCAAAAAUUUUGCCCUAGUUUCCAUUUCCUAGGGUUAUAUGACCGAGUAGUUGGGGUGCCUACGUAUCCCGUUGAAGUAGGAAUCAGGUCAAACGUAGUUCAGGCCUACGCUAGGGAUAUAUACAAAAAAAUCUAAUGGUUUAACCGAAGCCAACAUAGGCCGCCUACAUAUCCUUUUUGUUGGGAAUUUAGGUCAUCACGUAGUUCAUACAUAAAGAGACAUGAUAAAUUAUCCUAAGGGGUUGGCCGAAGCUGACAUAGGCCGCCUAAGUAUCCUUUUCUUAGGAAUUCAGGUCAAACAUAGUUCGUACAUAAAGAGAAAUGAUUCUAGGCAGUUACACAUUAGCAAACAACAUUAUUACAAAGGUGAUUACAAACAAACUAAUCAAACACAAAAACUAGAACGUCAAUCAAACAUAAUAUCUAUUUACCACAUCAGAAUUGAUUGGUUCGGUCCACUCUGUACCAUCUAUCUCAGACAAAAUCAAAGCUCCUCCAGAUAGCACCUUGCGAACUAUGUAUGGCCCUUGCCAGUUUGGAGCGAACUUCCCCUUGUACUCCUCUUGGUGAGGGAAUAUUUGUUUGAGAACCAGUUACCCCACUUCAAAUGCUUGAGUUCUUACCUUUUUGUUAAAGGCACGAACCAUCCUGUGUUGAUACAGCUGACCAUGGCAUACAACGCCCAUUCUCUUUUCAUCAAUUAACAUGAAUUAUUCAUAGCGAGCACAGACCCAUUCUUCGUUACUCAGUCCAGCUUCCUGAAUAAUCCUUAGGGAAGGUAUUUCGACCUCAGUGGGUAUCACAGCUUCAUUCCCGUAAACUAGUAAAUAGGGAGUUUCUCUUGUGGAGGUUGGAACUGUUGUUCGAUACCCUAGAAAGGCGUAAGGUAGCAUCUUGUGCAUGAUCUAUCAUUUUCGACCAUCUUUCUCAAGAUCUUCUUGAUAUUCUUGUUAGCAGCUUCUACGGCUUCAUUCAUUUAGGGACGAUAUGCUGUCGAGUUUCGAUGUACAAUCUUGAAAUGAUCACAAAUUUCUUUCAUCAAGUGACUAUUCAGGUUUACCCCAUUAUCAGUAAUAAUAAAUUCUGACACUCCUAAUCGGCAAAUCAAGUUAUUCCUGAUGAAAUCUGCAACGACUUUCUUAGUGACGGCUCUGUACGAAGAAGCUUCAACCUACUUAGUGAAAUAAUCAAUGGUAACCAAAAUAAAUCUAUGCCCAUUUGAUGCUAGUGGCUCUAUUGGUUCGAUGACAUCCAUGCCCCAAGCUACGAAAGGCCAUGGAGAAUUCAUUGCGUGAAGAUCGUGUGUAGGCAUUCAAAUCAGAUCUCCGUGUAUUUGAUAUUUUGGACAUCUCUGUAUAAACUUACUACAAUCAUUUUCCAUAGUCAUCCAGAAGUAACCGGUUCUCAGGAUCUCAUGUGGGCCCCACAAACUCCAGCGUGUACCUCGUCUAUCAAUUUAUUGGCUUCCGCCGCAUCGAUGUAUCUUAGGAAUCCCAAAUUAGGAGUCCUUCUAAAAAUAAUUCCUCAACUUGGAAAGUAGUUCUUUGCCAAACGCCGGAUUGUCUUCUUUUGGUUGUUACUAGGCUCUUCAGGAUAUAUUCUAGAUUUCAAAUACCUCUUAAUGUCAUAGUACCAAGGCCUUCCAUCAGGCUCCUCUUCCACGUGUAUGCAAUGCAUGGGUUGCUCCUUCAGGCUUAUUUCUAAAGGAUCGAUGUAACUGUAAUCCGGGUGCUGAAUCAUGGAAGAUAUCGUGGCCAAAGUGCCAGCAAACUCGUUUUGUGUCCGUGGGAUAUGUUUGAAAUCAACAUCCUUGAAUUUUCUGCAUAAUUCUUGUACCAGCUCCACAUAAGGAGUAAUCUUGGAGUUUUUACCACCCAUUCUCCCCGUACCUGGUAAAUCAGCAAAUCUAAAUCUCUGAUGGCAUUCACGAACACCCUUAUCAAGUGCCAAUUUGAUCCCCAGGAUACAAGCUUCAUAUUUAGCCAUGUUGUUAGUGCAUGGAAAACGUAACUUAGCAGUUACCAGAUAAUGCUGGCUCAUUUCUGACACCAAAACUGCUCCAAUUCCUGAACCUUUAAAGUUGAUCGCCCCAUAAAAAAAUAGCCUCUAUCCGAGGUAGAUUUUUGUGAUAUCUUCUCCUACGAACAAAACUUCCUCAUCUGGAAAGUAUGUUCGAAGUGGCUCAUAUUUCUCAUCAAUUGGGUUUUCAGCUAAAUGAUCUGCUAAGGCUUUCCCCUUGAUUGCUUUUUGGGUUACAUACACAAUGUCAAACUCACUCAGCAAUAUUUGCCACUUGGCUAGCUUUCCUGUAGGAAUGACCUUCUGGAAUAUAUACUUCAAUAGAUCCAUUCUCGAGAUGAGGUAAGUUGUGUAGGAUGAUAAAUAAUGCCUCAACUUUGGUGCCGUCCAAGUCAAAGCACAACAUGUCCUUUCUAUAAGAGUGUAACGGGCUUCAUAUGGUGUGAACUUUUUACUCAAGUAGUAAAUGACUUUCUCUUUCCUGCCGGUCUCAUCAUGUUGCCCGAGGACGCAUCCGAAAGUAUUUUCUGAGACUGACAGGUAAAGCAAUAAUGGAAUUCUUUUUCUCGGUGGGACCAAAAUUUGUGGUGCAGACAAGUAUUCCUUGAUGCAAUCAAAAGCUCUCUAAAAUUCUUCUGACCACUUAGUCAGUGCAUUUUUCUUCAAUAUCUUGAGAAUUGGCUCGCAUAUGACUGUUGAUUGAGCGAAGAAUAUACUAAUGUAAUUCAGAUGACCCAUGAAACUCAUAACUUCUUUCUUGGUCCUUGGCGGUGGCAAGUCUUGAAUUGUCUUGAUUUUGGACGGGUCUAGCUCUAUCCCCCUUCUGCUGACUAUGAACCCCACUUCCCUAACGGGACACCAAAAGCACACUUAGCAGGAGUUAAAUUCAAACUGUACCUUCUUAAUCUGUUGAAGAAUUUCUACAGAUGAUUUAGAUGAUCCAAACUCUCGCGGGAUUUGAUAAUUACAUCAUCCACGUACACCUCAAUAUCCUUAUGGAUCAUAUCAUGGAAAAUCGUUAUCAUGGCCUUCAUAUAUGUCGCACCUGCGUUCUUGAGACCAAACGGCAUUAACCUGUAAUGAUAAACACCCCAGGGUAUAAUAAAAGCCAUUUUUUCUGUAUCUUCCUCAUCCAUUAGUAUCUGAUGAUAGCUGGCAAAACAAUCAACAAAUGACUGUAUUUUAUGUUUCGUACAGUUAUCGAUGAGAAUGUGGAUAUUGGGCAAUGGAAAAUUAACUUUAGGACUGGCUCUGUUCAAGUCUCUAUAGUCAACACAAAUUAGAAUCUAGCCGUCCUUCUUUGGCAUAGGGACAAUGUUGGCCAACCAUGUCGGAUAUUUUGUGACCUCGACAACCUUUGACUGGAUUUGUUUUGUCACUUCUUCCUUGAUCUUUAGGCUUAAAUUGUCCUUGAAUUUCCUCAUUUUCUGCUUGACUGGAUCGAACUCUAGAAUUUAUCGGCAAUUUAUGUGACACAAUACUGGUGCUCAACUAGGGCAUAUCAUCAUAGGACCAAGCAAACACGUUGAUGUAUUCCUGCAAUAGGUGGAUGAGCUCUUCCCUUUGUGGCACCGCCAGGUGGACACUGAUACUGGUUUCUUUGAUUUCAUCGUGAUCUCCUAAGUUGACUAUUUCAGAUUCUUCCAGGUUGGGUUUUUUGCGAUUCUUAAAUUCCUCUAUAUCUUCAACUAACCAUUCCUAUUCAUCGCCCUUCCAAUCAUCAUUGUUCCCUUCAUUUUGUUCGUUUAGGCUUUGACAUGACAUAAUAUUGGCAGGUUUUAAGCUACUGUUACUGUAAUGGACAAACAAACUAAGUUAGAUGAUAAGAAAAUAAUAACAAAACAUAUGACUAGGAAUGUUUUAGAAAUAAUAUAGUUUUCCAAAUAAAUGAAGGCCUUUUUAUUAAAAUUUUAGAAAUAAUUACAAAACCAUGGCUUGUGACUUGCACAAAUACAAGCCCCUGCCUUUUGAAAGUAGUAAGAUACGAAAAUAAAGUUUUGAGAUAUAAAAGAUGGAUCACGGGGCCUUUUCUAGAUCAUCACCGAUUUUAAAACUAUCAGUAAUUACCCUUUCAUCUACUACGACGGGAGACAGGUUAUGAGUGGAGUGGAGGUCCAAUUUUGCAAAGCCUCCCUUGGUGCAAUUUGCUUCACCCCACUGGACUCUGGGAGAUCUUUUGGUACAGCAUUGCAUCCUUUAAACAAAUCUCCUAUCCCAUCCCCAAGACCAUCAUCAUCUGACAUCUCUCGUAUGGGAAAUGACUGGAACAGGAGUGGCAAGGGCCUAAACAGACUCUUUUCUGGCUCAUCCUCAACCUUAUCUUUUUUGGUAGGCUGAUACCCUAACCCGUGCUUAGAGAUUCUCUCUGGGAUCACAAUAGGCUCGAUAAUUCCUUGUAAAUUCUUGCCUAAGCCUCAACCAGGUUUGAACCCAUUUCUUAACAUCACAGUUGCAAUCAUUUUGUAGACAAAAGGCAUUGAUAUUUUAGGUGUCGAAUCUCUUUUUGCAGCAUUUACAAUUUCCACUGUAUAGAAACUACUACCUUUUGAAACAUCUUCAAUCACCGGCACAUAACCAUUGGGAUGGUCCGCUCGACUUCCUUCUCCUUGGAUGACUACUUCAUGAUCUUUCCAAAUGAACUUCAAUAAUUGAUGAAGGGGUGAUGAAAUUACCUUUGCCCCGUGUAUCCAUGGUCUUCCCAAAAGUAGGUUAUAGUUAGAAUGGAUUUCCAUAACAUGAAACUUAGUCUUAAACUCAGCAGGCCCCAUUUGGAUGUGCAAAUCAAUCUCUCCUAUAGUAUCUCUCUGCCCUCCAUCGAAUGCUCUCACAUUUACGUGGCUUUGAAAAAUUUUCCCCAGAUCAUAGCCCAUUUGGACCAACAUGGAGAGGGGACAAAUAUUCACACCAGAUAUAUCGUCUAUUAAUACCUAAUUAAUUGCAUAAUCUCGAUAAAUGACGGUGACAUGCUUGGCUUUGUUGUGCAUUGCUCCUUCAAAUGACAACUCUUUAUCACUGAAUGAUAUGCGAUGGUUCCCUACAACGUUCCCUAUCAUCGCAGCCAAAUUCUCAAUGCUCGUUCCUGUGGGAACAUACACUUCCUCCAAGACCUUCGACAGAGCCUGUCGGUGGUGUUGUGAGAUUAAUAAUAGUGCUAAGACAGAGAUUUGGGCUGGCGUUUUCUCCAAGUGUUUGAUAAUUGAGUAAUCCUUGGGUUGCAUACGCCUCCAAAAUUCCUCAGCCUCUCCUUCAGUGAUUGGCCUUUUCUGUGAAUCUUUCUUGUUGGUCAAUUCCUCAGGGAUGUAACAUCGUCCUGAUCGCGUCAUCCCUUGGGCAACAAUGGUUUGUACAAUAAAUUUCUUCUUUGGAGGGGGAGCAUACACUUGAGUCGGUGCAGUCAUCACUAUAAAUAGGGCUUUCUCGCUGAUUUUUAAGGCAACCAUAGCUUUCUCUAUCUUUCCUACCUCUUCUACCCUUUUGUAAUUUUCGGAGUUCACCUGGGUAAUGGUCUUUCCAGAUUCCCAUUCACCUUCUAUUUUAAUCAUGUCAACUGUAGAUCCCCCAUGGUUGGGCAGUGGAUUACUGCUAGCAUUUAGAGUAGGUGCCUGGAGUGUGAUGACCUUUUGAUUAAUCAGAUCUUGGAUUCUGUGUUUCAAUAUAAGACAGUCCUCGGUAGUAUGCCCGACUGCCCUGAAUAAUAGGCACAAUUUUGAUCAGGGUAAUAAAAUUGAGAGCUAGGAUUGACGGGCUUUGGCUGUACUAGUUGCAAAUGACCAGCAUUCUUCAAUCUUUCAAAUAAGUUGGUGCGACUUUCAGCUAGUGGGGUGAAUUUUCGGGGAGCUUUCUUUUUGUGGUUUGGAUGCUGGGGGUUAUAUGGGCUUAGGUUUGUAGGAGGGGGUGCUUGGUGGCAAUUUAGAGGUGUUUGGAAAUUUGUUCGAUUAUUUGGGGGAGUAGUUUGGAAAUAAGACUGAUAAUUUGGAGGUGGAACUGUGUAUUGGGGAAAGAUAUUUGGUUGUGGAGCUUGGUAUGAUGGUGGGAUGUUUGGGAGUGGAGUUUGGUAUUGGGGGUGGACAUAGAAUGCGUGCGGAAGGUUAGGUGAUGACAGGGAAGAUGAAACAUUUCUAGAGUUGAACCGCUGUUUUUAUUUUGUAACAGAAUUGGCAGAAACCCCACCUACCUCUUUCUUCUUCUUCUUAGAAAACAUGGCAGUUCUAGAUGAUGUCGGGGUUUUAGCAAUUUUUCCUAUCCGAAUACCUUCCUCUAAUGAUUCUCCUAUUUUUACCAAAUCUGCAAAGGUUGCUCUGACUGCGGACACCAUCCUGGUAUAAUAUUCUCCUUCUUGAGCGCGAGAGAACACGGAUACCAUUUCCUCCUCAGGCAUGAGGGCUGCGCUUUUGCAGCUUCAUUUCUCUAACGAAAUACAUAAUCUCGAAAACUCUCAAUACUCUUUUGUUUAAUCCGAUCUAGUGAAUACCUAUCGGGGACUAUUUCAAUGUUGAAUGUGAACCGGUCAAGGAAACUCUUGGCCAAUGUCUUCCAACCAGUCCACCUUUUCGGCUCCUGAGACAUGAACCACUCCAAGGCUUCACCAUUCAAACUUCGACUGAAUAGGCACAUUAAUAACGCCUCAUUUUUCCAUAUCCCUACUAGUUUCUCACAGUACCUUCUUAGAUGGGCCAUUGGAUUUUUGGUACCAUUAAAUAUCUCAAACUUAGGGACCUUGUAUCCUUCUAGUAGGUCUACUCUUGGGUGAACACACAAAUCGUCAUACCCCAAAUCGUCGUGGUCCUUGGCCCUGUGAGACUCUUUGAUCCUCAUGAUCUCUUCUUGAAUGACUAGUAAAUUCCUUUCAUGAUGGGCCCUCCAUUCCUUCUCCUUCUCAUUGUAAUGGUCCAUCUUAGGGUUAGGAAGGGGUUCAUAAAUAUUAGGGGAUAUGAUGGCUUAAGGGGGAUUUGCAAGGAAGGCUUGAUUUUCAGAUAGAGGGAAUUUGGUUGGUAAGUGGGGAGAACGUUUUGGAAAUUGAGAAGGUUAUGUGGACCUUGUAAGUAGUUUGGCGGAAUAUGAGAGGGAUUUUGCGAAUUUGGAAAUGAACUUGGUGGAUUCGAAGGUAGGUUUGCCGUAUUUUGUGGAUUUGGGAUUAAAUCUUGCGGAUUUGGGAAUGUGUUUUGUUAAUUUGAGAAUGUGUUUUAAGGAUUUGGGAAUGGAUUCGAAAAUGGGUUCUGUGGAGUUGCGGAUGGAUUUUGUGGAUGGUAGCGUCUGGAUUAUUUUUGCGAUUAGUGUUUUGGACAAAUGGAGGAGCGGAGCCGAAUGAUACGUUAGUUGGUUGGUCCCCGAGAAUAGGGGUAUGAGGGGAGGGAUUUGGAGUGGAGUCCCGUGUCCCCCUGGAGCAGGGGCAUUGACUGUGAUGGCCAAGUUAGCGAAAUCCCGAGUUCGAUUUACUUCUUCCUGAAGUAUUUCUAACUUUCUUGCAAGUUCCGCAAUCAUCUUAUUCUGUUCCGCUAUCACAUUGUCUAGAAUAGUCAGGGUGCUUUCCUUAUCAUUUCCUGUUAUUUUUGAAUGAUAGUCAGGGGAUUAGAUUUUGUGUGAUUUCGAUCGGAUGAAGUGGGGAUGUUUUGACAACUUAUAUCAACAUGGAGUAAUUUCUAUUAUCUGUAAAGUAAAACAACUCAAAUUCAAAUGUGUUAGUUUCCGUAUGUGAUGAGUAAUGCAAAAUAUUUGACAGGAAAUAAUCACACAGAGUUGUUCGAGUCAUAGCCAAAUUCAUCCGUAGGUCAUAGUGGAUAAACUUGCCUUUGAUCUCAACCAACGUAUAUAAGCACAUAAAACAGUUAUAUCACACAAGACAUUAAAAUAACGCGUAUCCUAAUUGGGGUGACCCUUUUUGAGCCAAGGGUUCAGGCCUAGCGAUUUUUUGAAGAAAAUAUAUGCUUCCUUAAAGUCAAUCCAUUAACCCCCAACUCAUAUAGACACAAAAGGGGCAUAAAUGGCUACAAAAGAUAACGAAACAGGGAUAUAAUUUGUAAGGAAAAGGGGAAAUAGCAUAAAAGAAGAUAAGUUCCCGCGCAGGGGAGAAUAGAAAAGCUAGCUACUGCAGGCUUCUUCGUCUGCUUUCACCUUAUUUGCCUUGUUUACCUCAUUUGCUAUUUGAUACCUAUUGAUGAUAAGGUGACUCCCGCAUAAUUGUGCCUUGUAUUCAUAAGUCAUUUCUCCUAUGCUGUCGAGUUGGGAGGCCAUGCUAUCAUCCAAAUCGAUUAGGCAUUUCCUAGCAUCAUCAGCAUCUUGCCUAGCUCUUUUCAACUCUUCCCUCAAUGUAUGUAUGGUCAUAGCAUCUUUCAUGUGCAUUUUCCAGUGCGCAAUUUAACCUUUCUGGAACUCAUCUUGUAGCUUGUGAAGCCGAAUUUGAUGCUUGGAUUCUACAUCCACAACCCGAGUGGGCAUAUUUCGUCUCGGAUUCAAUGCUCCGGCAAGGCUCUUUUUCAACCACUCCUUGUAAGUGUCGCUGACUUCAGGUUCAUACCCUAUACGAAAAGAGACUUCUACCCACUUUUCCCUUCUCCAUCCAUUUAUCAUGUAGUCUUUGAGUGAGGGCUUACUUUUAUCAUAUUCGGUGAAGAAUCUGAGCAUACAAUUGAUUUGAGGCGUCUCUUUCUUGAUCUCGAAUUUCCUAAGAACUCUGCCAGGAUUGUAGGGGCGGGUUCCCCUGAGACCCGGAAGCACCAAAAAAUUCCAUUCUCCCCCUCGAAUGAUGUAUUUCCUUGAACGAAGAUAGUUAAGGGACCAUUGGACAUCGCCAUCUCUUAAUUAUCCAAGAGUCUUAAACCAAAAUUCGUGGGAUGCUUCCCUUUUGAACUUGUGUAAAAAUAACCACAUGUCGUGUGAUUCUAGCAGAUUUCUCCUUGUUUUGUGAUCAGGUUGUGCCGUUCUAGGAUUUUUCACCAAAUGCAUCAUCAUCCACCAUUGUAAUAUAAGGUUUCAGCCUUGAAAGAAAUGAUUCUUGACUUGAUAUCUUCCCAAAUCGCGAUAUAUGUCAGCGACAAUCAUGGGGGAUAAGUUGUGGAAUACUUUUUUAAAAUUGUAUUCCAUUCCAAAGAAGAGUGCAUGGGUCACUGUGACAACCCUCGGAUGAAUUGUGCCAUUUUCCCCGUCCGGGAAUACCAUGGUUCCAAGUAGGCCUACCGCGAAUGCAAAAGCUCUCGUUUCCUUUCAUUUUGUUUCCGACUCCAAUUUAUGCCCAAAUUUUUGAAAAGAGUUAAAUCUUCCAAACCGACAGUACAACUCAUGAAAAGUGAUAUUUUCUCCAUCCCGUUCUCCUAGCUAGGUGUCGUUAUCAGUUAAAAAUGCUUCCUUGAUCUUUUGACGAUCCCACACAUCCGGGACUAAAAUAUUCUUAUCCGGUGUCUCCUUUCUCUUAAAACACAUUUUUGUACUCUCGUAGCAAAUCAAUACCUCUUCAAUGGACCAUGUUCUAAUCAUCCCAAAAAGUUGUUAGUACAUGGAUUAUUUCGAGCCAAACGUCUAUCUCGAUCAAAGAAGGAAGAUGGCCAAUGUGUGUUCUAACAAUCUUUCUCUCUUCUGUACCCAUGUAAUCCCACCACAGUUUCAGGUAAUCAUCGGGUUUGGUGACCAUCUUGAACUUUUCACGAGAAUGCAAUUGAGCCAUAUCUACAUAAAAGAAGACAAAAUAAACCUUUCCCCGACCCCAAAGGAUAAUGGAUUGAAUCUAGACAAGCAUAUAUUUCUUCAACACAUAAGCAUGGUUCGUGUGUGAUUGACUCAGGGUCAAAUAGACAUAGGGCAGGUUUUCUAAUAGGCCCAAUAACCCGCUCGGAUAUUGGGUCGUCCUAGGCACAUGCCUAAAAUAGGAUUUUGGUUUUGUUCUAUCCUCGGUGUCUAGAGUGGGCUUGGACACUGGUUCUCAAGCGAACAACUUGAGUUUGAAAAUACAAACAGGGUCAGAUGACUCACGUACUGAUAAGCUGUUCGUAUUUCUAACAUAUUUUGGAAUUGAACAACAAGGGCUGGGACAGCCACGAAACCCCAAAACAGUUUAUAAGAUGCAAGAAAUGCCAUGAGAUGCGAUAAUUAAACUUUACAUAAUUGAAACACAUAAAAACAUAAACAGUUAAUCAAAGACGAAAUAAAACAUUUGGUUAGAACCUAGUUAGGUCCCAAGCAGAGUCGCCAUUUCUAUUUUUGCGGAGAAAUUUUGACUUUUUGAAAGAGAGUCGCCACUUAAUUUUGAAAAGGAAUUAAGAAACCUUUAGAGGGUUACUUCAAACGAUUCAAAAUAGAAAACUCAUUUUAAGUUAGAGAUUCCGAGUAAGUGGUUCCUAUUAAUGUUUUAGGAAGAUGUUAGGCACCUAAAACGUCCGCUAACUUGAGGUUAUCCGGACAGUUUGAAACGUCUUUGAUUAGCUUCUGAAAUUUGAUUUGUUAAGAAGUGAUUGAUUUUAGAAAUAUUUUGAAAGUUUGCAAAGAUUAGUUUCUAGCGAACUCAUUAGGGGAUUUGACUAGGUUCGUAAAAGGCAUGCAAAACAAAUAAUCAAAAGAAAGGGAAAGGGAGGAGAAGUAAUGAUUUAGGCUUUGAAGCCCAAACUGUUAAACCUGUCCUAAUCUAGUUGGGUUUUCAACCCAUUUUCCUCUCACCUGUCCUAUUUCUAUGUUUUCGGGCCCUUUAGCUCGAGUUUUCACUUCACCUGUAUUAAAUACAACUUUGGCUUCGAGGCCCAAAUGAAUGAAUAAACAAAUAAAAUAAGCAAUAAAGAAUAAAAAAACACUAAUUAAACAAAACGAAACAGUAAAUGAGACUUUUGUCUCUUAGCCGCUUCAAAUAUGGGACUUUAAUCCCUUUUGCUUCUUCCACCUCCUUAUACCCGUAUACUACGCGAUGGAUACUUGAAAAUUCUUUCGGAACCAACUUCGAGUUUUAGGGCCCCCAUGGUCCGUGAUAGAUAUGCAUAGGCAAGGGAGUUCGUAUAGGACUCAAUCGUAUCCACAUGCAAAAGAAAAAGCAAAAUAAUUAAUCUACAUACUACAGUUAUCAUUUAAAUGAUUACUAAAUUAUAGUUAUAAAAAAAGGCCAAAGCAGUCUACUAAAGGCAACUUCUCAUCAUGCGUCGUGCAUAGAAGCCAACAACAAUAACCAUGAAAUCGAUGUAUCCCAAGCACAGAACGUACACGAUCCAUACCGCUAUCUCAAAUAGGGGAUGAAGAGGAACGGUUCCUAAUGAACCUCAGCCCAUAAGAGAAUAGCCUAACUUAAGGAAUUGUAGUAGCAGGGAUAUCAAGAGCAGGCUAUAAUAAGGAUAAGUGUACUCAACCCAAUCAGAAUUUGCAUCAUGAAAUAUAAAUCUAGUCCAAUCUACUGUAAACAAUCCCCUGAACUGACUACCAAUAGUAAAACAGGUACACCUUAUAAGCAUGAAUAACAGGAAAUACUCUUAGCAGUUUACAUUGACUUUAAUCCACAGACUAAGCAAACUAUGACUAAGUAAAUGGGUUCAAACAAGUUAGAAUUAGUAUCAUAGACUAAGAAAACUAUGACCAACCCGUACUUAUUAUAAUGCAAGCUAAGAAAACCACCACCACUCAAAUCAAUUUAAAUAGGAUGCAAUUAACAUCAUAUAACACUAUCAAAGCAAGAUUCUAGACAUAUAAAUCAUAAACUUCAUUUUCCUACCGGACCUUAGUUCGACACAACCACCUUAUUUUAAAUCAGGGGAAGCGUCACGUUAUGCCAGACAAAGACUUCAUGUUACAUAACAUGUUUGAAAAUAUAUCUUUUGACUUGCAAAUAAGAAAUCGAUCUGUACAAAUAUAAGCAUAUUUAGACCUUUUACCAGAGAACUUUGACGCAGAGUCAGCUAGAUCGCACACAACCACCUGAAACUAUUCAAUUGAGAUUAAAUCUUGGGACCUUGACACCGAAACCAGCUAUAACGACAUAUCGUUAGCCCGAAAUCAUUAAGCAAACCCAAAGUUUGAAUCAUUAUUGUGUAAACAUCCUUAACAAAACUCUAGUAACCCAAAAUCUAUUAAACUUGCUAAAAGCACUCAGCUUUACUCCAAAAAGAUAGAUACCAUGAUAAUCAUCAAACCAAAACUAUUCAAAAAACUCCAAGCAAGAGAUUUGAUUAUGAAAACAGCUUAAUGAAAUACCAACAGCCCGAAACAAAAUCAAAGCAUGAAUCUUUGUCACGGAACCAGCUAUUCAUCUCAAGUAGUAGAGUCGCAUAACAAAUUCAUCAGUAAUAGAAAGAAUAAGCGACAAAUUUCAAAUCUAAGGCGAAAUCAGCAAAGAUUGCAUAUAGGCAAUCAUGACAAAGGUUAUCCAAAUAUAACAAAUGCGACCAAAUAUUGUCUUCUCUAAAGAGAGGAGAAUCCUACGGCUUUUUGGGCCUCUACAACAGACAACCCAGCCUUAUUCAUUUCAAACAGAUAAACUACUUCUACGAAGAAAAGGGGGAUGAAGCAGGAAACAAUGAAAUUAAAAGGGACGAGCGUGCAUUUACCUCUUUCGGGGCAGCAAAAUGGGACGACGAGCUAUCAGCACAGUUAUCACCACUAGGAGCUUGAUGUUAUCAACUCAGAAAGCUCUGAGCCACCCCAACCUUCCUCGGAAAGAAGAAGAUUUUAUGCUUAAACAAAAAUAUACUAGUUUUUUGCUCAGAAUGGCUUUUUCCACCUUCCGAGACUUGCUUUAAAUUGCUCUACCGUUACCCUUUUAUAGAAGAAGGGAGGGGUUGCUUUUUGUGCUUCCACCGAUGUGGGAUAAAGAAAAAUCAGGGACCAACUUGGAAUUCUUCGGUGGAGAUUUUGAAUUUUGAAUUAAGAUCAAGAUCCCCAAAAAUCCAAAAUUCUUUUUAAUCCAAUAAAAAAUGUCCAUCUCUGUACUUGCAUGGUACAAAAUUGAAAUUGUGAGGUGGGAACAACGAUUUUUAAGGACACGUCACCAAUUUUGGGUUCUACUAGAACCCAGACAGCUAAAAAAUUAUGAGCAAAGAAAAGGAGAUUGGGAUUGACGUGGAGAGAGGGAAAUCAAAAUUGAGUUUCGCCGAGUCGGGUUGUCGAGCAUAGAGCUACUCAUGAAAAUUGUUAAACUGUUGAGUUCACCAAACUCGGGUCAUCGGCGCCGGGCUUGGAGUCACCGGUAUCGGGUUGUCUAUGGUUGACGGGUUUGGUUUGGUUCUAGUUGAUGGUGGACGUCGGUAUAGGGGCGUUGGAUUUGGGUUGAGAGGAGUUGUUGUUUGUUGAUGUUGCUUUUGAUGUUAUGGCUAGAUUUUCCAUGGUUGAUGUUGCUGUUACAAGGAAGAAAAGAUAUUGGGCCGGGUUAGGAAAAUUUUGGGCUGAAGGUACUUUGUUGUUGGGCCGGCUUGGUUUAUUAAUUAGGUUAAAUAUUGGGUUAUUUAAUAACCCUAAUAAAUCUAAUUGGGUUAUUAAAUAACCCUAAUUAAACUAAUUGAAUUAUUAAAUAAUCCUAAUUAAACUUAAUUAUAUUAUAAUAAUCAUAAUUAAAUUUAAUUAGAUUAAAAAUAACUCUAAUUAAGUUUAAUCGGAUUGAAAUAAUCUCAAUUAAGAAACGAUGACUUUUGGGAUCAAGAUUGAAUUACAAUUUAAACGACUUAUUUAAAUUAUAACCAAAUUGAAUAUCUAUUGGUCAAUUGCAUUACAAUUGGGCCAAUUUGAUUUCAAUUAAGGUCAUAUUUAAUUCGUUUGCUAAAUUGAAUCAUAAUCUGGCACAAAUCAAGUAACAAAUUAACCUUGAGUUUCUUAAUUUGAUAAGAAUCCAACAAAUAUUCCUCCAAAUAAAAUAUUUUGAGAGUAAAAUAUAUUUAAAAUCAAGAUUUUAUCCCUUCGGAUUAACUUUCAAGUUUAAUCAAUAAAAAUCUAAUUUUAAUGAACACGUUCAUUUAAAUAACAAGAUGUAUAAUCAUCAAUUAAAUGAUAAAAGUGAAUUGAAUAAGUAAUUUAAACCAACAUUUAUUUGAACAAAAUAAUUGUUGUGAUUUUAUUUUAAAAUUGAAGAAACUCAACAUUAAAUUGGAUUGUGGAGGGCAAAAAUUAGGUGUCAACAUAUGUAAUGGUUUCAAGUGACUUAACACUCCGUUUUUGGGGCAAAAUGGUCCUUUUCCUACCUUUAUUCAGCAAUAAACACGAAAUUCAGUCCCCAAUUCUCCAAAAUACAUCCACAUUCAUCUAAAAAUUCUCAAGAACACUCCCAUGGGUUUCAAACUAAAAACUCAAAUAAAUCAAGAUUCAACCGUGGGUUUUCAAAAUCGAUUAGAGAUUCAGAAUCCCCAAUCCACAGGCUUCAAGAAGAACCCAUUAUUUUCCAAAAUAGAGGUAUGCGGGGUUUUCCUAAAUUCUCAUGGGCAUAGAAAAAUCAUGUUUUAGAAUGGGGUUUUUGAAACUAUGUAUAUAUUCACGUAUUAGAUAUUUUAACAUCAUUGUUUUGGUCUUUUGACCUUCCCUAAAGUGAUUUGAGAAUAUGUAUGUAUGAAUAAAUGUAUUUAAGAAUGAAUUCUUAUUGAGAGCAUGACUUUUGGUGAAUUCCCUCUUAUUAUGAAUUUCAGAUUUUUCAUAGCAUAUGAAUUGUUUUGCAAUGCAUUCUUGAAAAACACUAUAUGAAAUGGUUGAACUCUUGUUAUGAUUUAAAGGUGGUUUUAAAUCACUAAAGAGAGAAUUUAGUAUGAAUGUUUAAUGUUCAUAAUGCAUGUAAUAAAAAAGUGCAUGAUUUGCUAAAGGCACUAGACUACCAUAUGUUUGAUGAAGUUUUUGCGUGAUUUUGACUUGAGUUUUGGAACACGAAAUCUUCUAUAUCAGUUGCAUGUUUUUGGGAGGUCUAAGCUUUGCUUUAAAUGAAAGAUUUAUCUUAAUGUAUUAUGGAUUAGAAAUCAUGACUUGUAAGUCUUGGUAUGACGAUAACAAACUCAAAAAAUUCCAUAACUGACACAGACGAAUACAGAAAUUAGACUUUAUCAGAUUUGCAUGUUUUAGAACUUUAGAAUGAUACAUGUUCAGAAAAGGCUAAAAUAGGGCAUAAAGAGAGCUUAGGUGGUUCCCCGAAGAAGGUGUGAGUUCAGACAACUCUUUGUCCAAACACGUGGUUUGACGACCCGGGUAUAUUAUUAUAUGCUGACUUAAGUGUCGUGUGACAUAUCAGAUUCAGGAACUCCAACCCUUGCAGCACACUCGGGUUGGAGGCUUCCCCGCUGAGUCAAUGGCGAAUUCCAUAGCGCCCGUGGAAUAUCAGACUUAUAGGGGAUACCACCUAAUUAAGAAGAAAUACACAGAUCAGAAUUUGAAAUUUAUAGACAGGUUACAGGUUUUCAGAAAGUGCCCAUGUGUUUUUCAGAAACUUUUUUAUGCAUGAUGUUUUGAUGAAAAUUUCUCUCACGUAUUAUAUAUAUAUAUAUAUAUAUAUAUGUUCAAUUACUCUAUUUUGGAUUACUUCGCAUGCCAAUACAAUUUUGCUGACCCCUCCUCCUUUCAGGUUCUGAGGCACAGUCUAGGGGUCCAGAUAAAUAGUAGAGAUUUCAU